GAAGGCUAAGGAGGCUGUGGUUUCCUGGGAAUCAAGAAACCUAGCAGGCAGAGCUGGAGUGGGGAGAAGCCCCAGAGUGACCUAAUGGCCAUAAGAUGAGCAUUGCCCAGUGCCCUCUAAAGCCUCUCUUCAAGCUGUCCCAAUGAGCGAACGUGAGGGAAAGAUAUGUGGCCAAGAGGAAGACAGUAAGUAAAAGGAGCAAAUUCAGAUCCUAUUGGAGACCCUAAGGAAAGAGAGAAAAAGGAUGGAAGAGCUUAAAGCGAGUGAAAAUUAAAGGCAUCAUGAG